CCUGGUCCACAGCAACAGGCGCCUGGACCAUGGACCCAUCGACGCACCAUAAACCAGCCAAUCAGCGAGUCUCAGCUCACCGCAAUGCAUCGCGAGCCCGAUCCACGCAUGCGGUCCAGGGCUCAUGAGGAGAGAGAAGAAGGUCCGAAGGGCAACCUGAUAACUUCACAUCACUCGAUGGUCCGAUCUUCUCUGAUCAAGAUCCAACGCUCCAUAUUUUUAUGCCAUCGGAUGGCCACCAUCGCAGCCGGUCAAGAUCCAACCGUAAUCAAGACAAU
rnacentral:lncRNA from 1 species